AGUGAACGCUGGCGGUAUGCCUAACACAUGCAAGUCGAACGGCAACACACUAACUGCUUGCUCUAACGGGUUGCGAGAGGCGGACGGGUGAGGAAGACAACGGGCUCUGCAUUUUCGUGGGGGAUAGCGUAGGGGAACUUACUCUAAUACCGCAUACGACCUACGGGUGAAAGCAGGGGAGCUUCUGACCUUGCGCGGUGGAAGGAGCCGAUGUCGGAUUAGCUAGUUUGCGGGGUAAAGGCCCACUAAGCCGAGGAUCCGUCGAUGGUGUGAGAGGAUGAUCAGCCACACUGGAACUGAGACACGGUCCAGAGGCCUACGGGAGGGAGCAGUGGGCAAUAUUGGACAGUAGGGGGAAGCCUGAUCCAACCAUACCGCGUGGGUGGCGGAGGCGUUCGGGUUGUAAAGCCCUUUUGUGGGGAAAGAAAAGCAUCAGCUUAAUACCACGCUGUUCUGACGGUACCCAAAGAAUAAGCACCGGCUAACUUCGUG
rnacentral:rRNA from 1 species